UACGUAGGCAGCGAGCGUUGUUCGGAGUUACUGGGCGUAAAGGGUGUGUAGGCGGCCCCCUAAGUUUGGUGUGAAAUCUCCCGGCUCAACCGGGAGGGUGCGCCGAAAACUGGAGGGCUAGAGUGCGGGAUGGGAGAGUGGAAUUCCUGGUGUAGCGGUGAAAUGCGUAGAUAUCGAGGAGGAACACCGGUGGUGCAGACGGCUCUCUGGACCGUAACUGACGCUGAGACACGAAAGCGUGGGUAGCAAACAGG
rnacentral:rRNA from 1 species